rnacentral:rRNA from 1 species
GACGUAGGGCGCAAGCGUUGUCCGGAUUUAUUGGGCGUAAAGAGCUUGUAGGCGGUUUGUCGCGUCUGCUGUGAAAAUCCGGGGCUCAACCCCGGACUUGCAGUGGGUACGGGCAGACUAGAGUGUGGUAGGGGAGACUGGAAUUCCUGGUGUAGCGGUGAAAUGCGCAGAUAUCAGGAGGAACACCGGUGGCGAAGGCGGGUCUCUGGGCCGAUACUGACGCUGAGGAGCGAAAGCGUGGGGAGCGAACAGG